rnacentral:rRNA from 1 species
CGGUGCUUAAUACAUGCAAGUCGAACGGAGAUAUCCACCCGAUGAAGCCAAAGUGCUUGCACAGAGGCCGAUUCAACCGGGUAUCUUAGUGGCGGACGGGUGAGUAACGCGUGGGUAACCUGCCUCAUACUGGGGAAUAACAGUCAGAAAUGGCUGCUAAUACCGCAUAAGCGCACAGUACCGCAUGAUACAGUGUGAAAAGAUUUUAUCGGUAUGAGAUGGACCCGCGUCUGAUUAGCUUGUUGGCAGGGUAACGGCCUACCAAGGCGACGAUCAGUAGCCGACUUGAGAGAGUGAUCGGCCACAUUGGGACUGAGACACGGCCCAGACUCCUACGGGAGGCAGCAGUAGGGAAUAUUGCACAAUGGGGGAAACCCUGAUGCAGCGACGCCGCGUGAGUGAUGAAGUAUUUCGGUAUGUAAAGCUCUAUCAGCAGGGAAGAUAAUGACGGUACCUGACUAAGAAGCCCCGGCUAACUACGUGCC